UAGAGUUUGAUCCUGGCUCAGGAUGAACGCUCCCGGCAGGCUUAACACAUGCAAGUCGAGGGGCAGCAUAAUGGAUAGCAAUAUCUAUGGUGGCGACCGGCGCACGGGUGCGUAACGCGUAUGCAACCUACCUUUAACAGGGGGAUAACACUGAGAAAUUGGUACUAAUACCCCAUAAUAUCAUAGAAGGCAUCUUUUAUGGUUGAAAAUUCCGAUGGUUAGAGAUGGGCAUGCGUUGUAUUAGCUAGUUGGUGGGUAACGGCUCACCAAGGCAACGAUCAGUAGCCGGCCUGAGAGGGUGAACGGCCACAUUGGAACUGAGACACGGUCCAAACUCCUACGGGAGGCAGCAGUGAGGAAUAUUGGUCAAUGGACGAGAGUCUGAACCAGCCAAGUAGCGUGCAGGAUGACGGCCCUAUGGGUUGUAAACUGCUUUUAUAGGGGGAUAAAGUGUGCCACGUGUGGCAUAUUGCAGGUACCCUAUGAAUAAGGACCGGCUAAUUCCGUGCCAGCAGCCGCGGUAAUACGGAAGGUCCGGGCGUUAUCCGGAUUUAUUGGGUUUAAAGGGAGCGUAGGCCGUUUGGUAAGCGUGUUGUGAAAUGUCGGGGCUCAACCUGGGCAUUGCAGCGCGAACUGCCAGACUUGAGUGCGCAGGAAGUAGGCGGAAUUCGUCGUGUAGCGGUGAAAUGCUUAGAUAUGACGAAGAACUACGAUUGCGAAGGCAGCCUGCUGUAGCGCAACUGACGCUGAAGCUCGAAAGCGUGGGUAUCGAACAGGAUUAGAUACCCUGGUAGUCCACGCGGUAAACGAUGGAUGCUCGCUGUUUGCGUCUGACGUAAGCGGCCAAGCGAAAGCGUUAAGCAUCCCACCUGGGGAGUACGCCGGCAACGGUGAAACUCAAAGGAAUUGACGGGGGCCCGCACAAGCGGAGGAACAUGUGGUUUAAUUCGAUGAUACGCGAGGAACCUUACCCGGGCUUGAACUGCCAGUGACUCAUGCAGAGACGCAUGUUUCUUCGGACACUGGCGGAGGUGCUGCAUGGUUGUCGUCAGCUCGUGCCGUGAGGUGUCGGCUUAAGUGCCAUAACGAGCGCAACCCUUCUCCCUGUUUGCCAUCGGGUAAUGCCGGGCACUCCAGGGACACUGCCAUCGUAAGAUGUGAGGAAGGUGGGGAUGACGUCAAAUCAGCACGGCCCUUACGUCCGGGGCUACACACGUGUUACAAUGGGCGGUACAGAAAGCAGCUACCCCGCGAGGGGAUGCCAAUCUCAAAAACCGUUCUCAGUUCGGACUGGAGUCUGCAACCCGACUCCACGAAGCUGGAUUCGCUAGUAAUCGCGCAUCAGCCAUGGCGCGGUGAAUACGUUCCCGGGCCUUGCACACACCGCCCGUCAAG
rnacentral:rRNA from 1 species